CCCCAGGGCCCUACCACCCUGAACGCACCCCAUCUCAUCUGAGCUAGGAAGCUAAGCAGAGUCGCGCCUGGUUAAUACUCGGAUGAAGAAAGCAAAAUCCCCAAACUCACUGGGUCCUGGCGA
rnacentral:rRNA from 1 species